GGUACCCUGACCGUGCUAAGGUAGCAUAAUCCCUUGCCUCUUAAUUAGUGGCUAGUAUGAAUGGAUAAACGAAAAUUAUGCUGUCUCUACAAAUCUAAUAUAAAUUGCCCUUAAAGUGAAGAGGCUUCAAUUAAAAUAAAAGACAAGAAGACCCUGUAGAGCCUAAGAUAAAUUUUAAUCUAUAAAAUAAAAUUAAAUAACCCUCUUAAUAUAUUCUUCAGUUGGGGCGACUAGAGACCACCAAAACCCUCUCUACAAUCAAAGGCCCAUUGGCCCAUCCCAAGAUCCACCAAAUGAUCAAAAAUCCAGGCUACCUCAGGGAUAACAGGUUAAUCUUCCUAAAGAGCCCAAAUUGACAGGAAGGAUUGACACCUCGAUGUUGGCUUAGGGGCACUUCAAGGUGCAGCCGCCUUGAUAGUAGGUUUGUUCACCCUUUAAUACCCUACG
rnacentral:rRNA from 1 species